GAAAUGCGAUAAGUAGUGUGAAUUGCAGAAUUCAGUGAAUCAUCGAAUCUUUGAACGCACAUUGCGCCCUUUGGUAUUCCUUAGGGCAUGCCUGUUCGAGCGUCAUCUAAACCUUCAAGCCCUGCUUGGUGUUGGGUGCCUGUCCCGCCUCCGCGCGCGGACUCACCUCAAAUCCAUUGGCGGCCCCCGCGUCGGCCACGAGCGCAGCAGAAACGCGAACUCGUGAGCCCGUCCGGGCGGCUCCCAGAAGCUACACCCACCCAGUUUGACCUCGGAUCUGGUAGGGAUACCCGCUGAACUUAAGC
rnacentral:misc_RNA from 1 species